UACGUAGGGUGCAAGCGUUGUCCGGAAUUAUUGGGCGUAAAGAGCUCGUAGGCGGUUUGUCGCGUCUGCCGUGAAAAUCCGGGGCUCAACCCCGGACUUGCAGUGGGUACGGGCAGACUAGAGUGUGGUAGGGGAGACUGGAAUUCCUGGUGUAGCGGUGAAAUGCGCAGAUAUCAGGAGGAACACCGGUGGCGAAGGCGGUUCUCUGGGCCUUACCUGACGCUGAGGAGCGAAAGCGUGGGGAGCGAACAGG
rnacentral:rRNA from 1 species